rnacentral:rRNA from 1 species
UCGAGUGGCGGACGGGUGAGUAACGCGUGAACAAUCUGUCCUGCAAAGGGGGAUACCAACUGGAAACAGUUGCUAAUACCGCAUGGGACCACGAUCUCGCAUGGGAUUGGGGUGAAAGCAGAGAUGCGAUGCAGGGUGAGUUCGCGUCCGAUUAGGCAGUUGGUGAGGUAACGGCCCACCAAACCGACGAUCGGUAGCCGACCUGAGAGGGUGAUCGGCCACAUUGGGACUGAGACACGGCCCAGACUCCUACGGGAGGCAGCAGUGGGGAAUAUUGGGCAAUGGGCGGAAGCCUGACCCAGCAACGCCGCGUGAGGGAAGAAGGUUUUCGGAUUGUAAACCUCUGUCCUUGGUGACGAAGAAAAUGACGGUAGCCAAGGAGGAAGCCCCGGCUAACUACGUGCCAGCAGCCGCGGUAAUACGUAGGGGGCGAGCGUUGUCCGGAAUGACUGGGCGUAAAGGGCGUGUAGGCGGCGCUGUAAGUCCGGAGUGAAAGUCCUGCUUUCAAGGUGGGAAUUGCUUUGGAGACUGCAGAGCUUGAGUACGGAAGAGGUAAGUGGAAUUCCCGGUGUAGCGGUGAAAUGCGUAGAGAUCGGGAGGAACACCAGUGGCGAAGGCGACUUACUGGGCCGUAACUGACGCUGAGGCGCGAAAGCGUGGGGAGCGAACAGGAUUAGAUACCCUGGUAGUCCACGCGGUAAACGAUGAAUGCUAGGUGUAGGGGGAAUCUCCCCCUCAUGCGCCGGAGUCAACACAAUAAGCAUUCUGCCUUGGGAGUACGGCCGCAAGGUUGAAACUCAAAAAAAUUGACGGGGGCCCGCAUAAGCAGCGGAGCAUGUGGUUUAAUUUGAUGCAACGCGAAGAACUUUGACAGGUCUUUUCACUGAAGUCAGCCAGUAGAGAUACAGGGUGGUUUCGGCCGACUGAAAACAGGUGGUGCAUGGUUGUCGUCAGCGUGUGUUGUGAGAUGUUGGGUUAGGUCCCGCAACGAGUGCAACCGUUUUUGUCUGUUAGUAACAGGUAGUGGUGAGGACUCUGACGAGACCAUCCGGGGACAACUCAGAGGAAGGUGGGGACGACGUCAAAUAAUCAUGUCCUUUAUGAUCUGGGCAACAGACGUGAUACAAUGGUGAUUACAAAGAGGAGCGAAGUUGUAAGGCCGAGCGAAUCUCACAAAAUUCAUCUCAGUUCGGAAUGUGGGAUGCUACCCGCCCACACGAAGUUGGAGUUGGUAGUAAUUGCGAAUCAGCAUGUUGAGGCGA